CACGAACCCGACAAACGUUAUUCGGAAUUAUUGGGCUUAAAGGGUGCGUAGGCGGUGCGGUAAGUGAGGUGUGAAAGCCCUCGGCUCAACCGAGGAAUUGCGCUUCAUACUGCCGUACUGGAGGAAGACAGGGGUAAGCGGAACUGAUGGUGGAGCGGUGAAAUGCGUUGAUAUCAUCAGGAACACCGGUGGCGAAAGCGGCUUACUGGGUCUUUUCUGACGCUGAGGCACGAAAGCUAGGGUAGCGAACGGGAUUAGAAACCCUGGUAGU
rnacentral:rRNA from 1 species